GGGUUGUGAGGUUAAGCGACUAAGCGUACACGGUGGAUGCCCUGGCAGUCAGAGGCGAUGAAGGGCGUGCUAAUCUGCGAUAAGCGCCGGUAAGGUGAUAUGAACCGUUAUAACCGGCGAUACCCGAAUGGGGAAACCCAGUGUGAUUCGUCACACUAUCAUUAACUGAAUCCAUAGGUUAAUGAGGCGAACCGGGGGAACUGAAACAUCUAAGUACCCCGAGGAAAAGAAAUCAACCGAGAUUCCCCCAGUAGCGGCGAGCGAACGGGGAGGAGCCCAGAGCCUGAAUCAGCAUGUGUGUUAGUGGAAGCGUCUGGAAAGGCGCGCGAUACAGGGUGACAGCCCCGUACACAAAAGCGCAUGUGCUGUGAGCUCGAUGAGUAGGGCGGGACACGUGGUAUCCUGUCUGAAUAUGGGGGGACCAUCCUCCAAGGCUAAAUACUCCUGACUGACCGAUAGUGAACCAGUACCGUGAGGGAAAGGCGAAAAGAACCCCGGCGAGGGGAGUGAAAAAGAACCUGAAACCGUGUACGUACAAGCAGUGGGAGCACCCUUUGGGGUGUGACUGCGUACCUUUUGUAUAAUGGGUCAGCGACUUAUAUUCUGUAGCAAGGUUAACCGUAUAGGGGAGCCGGAGGGAAACCGAGUCUUAACCGGGCGUUAAGUUGCAGGGUAUAGACCCGAAACCCGGUGAUCUAGCCAUGGGCAGGUUGAAGGUUGGGUAACACUAACUGGAGGACCGAACCGACUAAUGUUGAAAAAUUAGCGGAUGACCUGUGGCUGGGGGUGAAAGGCCAAUCAAACCGGGAGAUAGCUGGUUCUCCCCGAAAGCUAUUUAGGUAGCGCCUCGUGAAUUCAUCUCCGGGGGUAGAGCACUGUUUCGGCUAGGGGGCCAUCCCGGCUUACCAACCCGAUGCAAACUGCGAAUACCGGAGAAUGUUAUCACGGGAGACACACGGCGGGUGCUAACGUCCGUCGUGAAGAGGGAAACAACCCAGACCGCCAGCUAAGGUCCCAAAGUCAUGGUUAAGUGGGAAACGAUGUGGGAAGGCCCAGACAGCCAGGAUGUUGGCUUAGAAGCAGCCAUCAUUUAAAGAAAGCGUAAUAGCUCACUGGUCGAGUCGGCCUGCGCGGAAGAUGUAACGGGGCUAAACCAUGCACCGAAGCUGCGGCAGCGACGCUGAUGCGUUGUUGGGUAGGGGAGCGUUCUGUAAGCCUGCGAAGGUGGCCUGUGAGGGUUGCUGGAGGUAUCAGAAGUGCGAAUGCUGACAUAAGUAACGAUAAAGCGGGUGAAAAGCCCGCUCGCCGGAAGACCAAGGGUUCCUGUCCAACGUUAAUCGGGGCAGGGUGAGUCGACCCCUAAGGCGAGGCCGAAAGGCGUAGUCGAUGGGAAACGGGUUAAUAUUCCCGUACUUGGUGUUACUGCGAAGGGGGGACGGAGAAGGCUAUGUUGGCCGGGCGACGGUU
rnacentral:rRNA from 3 species